GGCCUGCUAGCUCAGUUGGUUAGAGCGUCGUGCUAAUAACGCGAAGGUCGUGGUUCGAUCCCUGCGCAG
rnacentral:tRNA from 1 species